AGAAACUUGAAGCGCUUUUCUGAUCUCCAUAACGUCUUAACCUUCCAUUAAUCUGUUUCUAACUCCGCUUGAUUAAUCCACUCCUCCCAUUGGAAGCAUUCAGUCAGACCUCUUCGCAUCUCCCUUCACUACUCCUAUCUAAAUUCGUCCAAUCUUUCAUGCAAUCAGAAUCGCGUUCCUCUAGAGGAGCAGAAAAUAAAGUCAUGGCCAUGAAUUUUGUUAGAUCCACCGGAUAAUCUUGAAUUUCUACGGUUUCAAAAGCAAAGAGCUUUAUCAGUUGAUUUUAUCACAGCAGUUUCAUGGAUACCAAAAGAGACUUCAAAGGCCAUGAAUGAUGACACGCUGAGUAGAUCGAGAAUGACAAAGGUUUCUACUGAUCAAAGAGAGAGGUUGGCAAUGUCCGUGGAGAGUAGAAGAACCAUGAUGGAGACGGAAGAUCUUGGUGUUUCAGUUCUUCAAGAUCUGAUAAUAACCUCAAAAUUGUUGUUUGUUGCAGGGGAUCUUGGACAGACUUUUGACUCAAACAUAACUUUACCACAUUAUGAGAAUAGCCCUAAAAAAGGGCAAGCAGUUUUGUUCGUUGGGGAUCUCUCAUACACUGAUAAUCAUCCGAAUCACGACAAUAAUAAAUGGGACAGUUGGGGAAGAUUUUCCGAAAGAAGUACAGCUUAUCAGCCCUGGAUUUGGACUACAGGAAACCAUGAACUAGAUUUUGCUCCCGAGAUUGGAGAAAAUAAACCGUUUAAGCCAUUCACGCAUAGGUACCGUACUCCUUACCGAGCUUCAGGCAGCACAGAACCAUUCUGGUACUCUAUAAAGAGAGGACAUUGCUUACAUAAUCGUGCUUUCUUCAUAUUCAGCAUAUGGUAAAUACACACCGCAGUACUCGUGGCUCGAAGAGGAAUUCCCAAAGGUUAACAGAACAGAAACUCCAUGGUUGAUUGUUCUGAACCAUUCCCCGUGGUACAACAGUUACAAUUACCAUUACAUGGAAGGUGAAACAAUGAGAGUGAUGUAUGAGCCGUGGUUCGUCAAGAACAUAGUAGAUGUUGUUUUUUCAGGUCACGUCCACACCUACGAAAGAUCAGAACGCAUAUCAAACAUAGCAUACACAGUGGUUAAUGGCAUUUGCAGUCCAGUAAAAGAUCAAUCUGCUCCUGUCUAUAUCACCAUUGGUGAUGGAGGAAAUAUUGAAGGCUUGGCUACCAAAAUGACUGAGCCUCAGCCUAAGUACUCUGCAUACAGAGAAGCUAGCUUUGGACACGCGAUAUUCUCGAUAAAGAACAGGACGCAUGCGCACUAUGCAUGGCACAGGAACCAGGAUGGUUAUGCCGUGGAGGCUGACACUAUGUGGUUUUACAACAGGUUCUGGCAUCCUGUUAAUGAUUCACCUUCUUCUGAUUCCUGAGAACCUCGGAAUCUAAUUUGUGUUGUUGUAUAACGCUGAAUAAACGCAAUGUGGCUGAGUUCUUGCUAAUAAAACUCGUCACUCAAGGAAAAACAUUGGCUCUUCUAGGAUUAUUUCGUCAUGGUUAGCCUUGCUUCAUAGUUCAUGUUUAGUUAAACUCGAAAUAAUAAACGUUUGAAUAAAAUUGAUAUUCACUUUGAUUA